GAUGAACGCUGGCGGCGUGCUUAACACAUGCAAGUCGAACGGAAAGGCUCCUGCUUGCAGGGGUACUCGAGUGGCGAACGGGUGAGUAACACGUGGGUGAUCUGCCCUGCACUUCGGGAUAAGCCUGGGAAACUGGGUCUAAUGCCGGAUAGGACGAUGGUUUGGAUGCCAUUGUGGAAAGUUUUUCGGUGUGGGAUGAGCUCGCGGCCUAUCAGCUUGUUGGUGGGGUAAUGGCCUACCAAGGCGUCGACGGGUAGCCGGCCUGAGAGGGUGUACGGCCACAUUGGGACUGAGAUACGGCCCAGACUCCUACGGGAGGCAGCAGUGGGGAAUAUUGCACAAUGGGCGCAAGCCUGAUGCAGCGACGCCGCGUGGGGGAUGACGGCCUUCGGGUUGUAAACUCCUUUCGCUAGGGACGAAGCGCAAGUGACGGUACCUGGAGAAGAAGCACCGGCUAACUACGUG
rnacentral:rRNA from 1 species